UGAGUCGGCCGGGUGGUCGCGGUCGAGUUGUCCGGCUUGCCGGGCUUCUCGGCUGAGGAAGGUCGGGGCUCCAUAGGGCAGGGUGCUGGCUAACGGCCAGUCGGGGCGACCCGCAGGAAAGUGCCACAGAAAGUAGACCGCCGAUGGCCCGAUGUUCACUGAGCAGGAGGCACAGGUGAGGGUGAAACGGUGCGGUAAGAGCGCACCAGCGCCCGGGGUGACCCGGGUGGCUCGGUAAACCCCACCCGGAGCAAGGCCGAGCAGGGGAUUGGGUAGCCCGUCCGGUGUCUCUUCGGAGGCACGAUCCCCAGGUAGGCCGCGUAGAUGGAUGGCCACCCCGCCGCCUUCGGGCGACGGACAGAACCCCGCCUACAGGCCGACUCGUCGU
rnacentral:RNase_P_RNA from 1 species